rnacentral:rRNA from 1 species
GCCUACACAUGCAAGUCGAGCGGCAGCGGGAAAGUAGCUUGCUACUUUUGCCGGCGAGCGGCGGACGGGNGAGUAAUGCCUGGGAAAUUGCCCAGUCGAGGGGGAUAANAGUUGGAAACGACUGCUAAUACCGCAUNCGCCCUACGGGGGAAAGCAGGGGACCUUCGGGCCUUGCGCGAUUGGAUAUGCCCAGGUGGGAUUAGCUAGUUGGUGAGGUAAUGGCUCACCAAGGCGACGAUCCCUAGCUGGUCUGAGAGGAUGAUCAGCCACANUGGAACUGAGACACGGUCCAGACUCCUACGGGAGGCAGCAGUGGGGAAUAUUGCACAAUGGGGGAAACCCUGAUGCAGCCAUGCCGCGUGUGUGAAGAAGGCCUUCGGGUUGUAAAGCACUUUCAGCGAGGAGGAAAGGUCAGNAGCUAAUAUCUGCUGACUGUGACGUUACUCGCAGAAGAAGCACCGGCUAACUCCGUGCCANCAGCCGCGGUAAUACGGAGGGUGCAAGCGUUAAUCGGAAUUACUGGGCGUAAAGCGCACGCAGGCGGUUGGAUAAAUUAGAUGUGAAAGCCCCGGGCUCAACCUGGGGAAUUGCAUUUAAAACUGUCCAGCUAGAGUCUUUGUAGAGGGGGGUAGAAUUCCAGGUGUNGCGGUGAAAUGCGUAGAGANCUGGAGGAAUACCGGUGGCGAANGCGNCCCCCUGGACAAAACUUGACGCUCAGGUGCNGANAGCNUGGGGGNCAAAA